ACCAGCCAGGGCAUGCCCGGUUGUGGUUUGACCUAAAGGCGGGAACCAGUCAAGUUUUGCUGAGUGUUCAAAUUUAAAUAUCAACCAAUAACAGCUCUGUAACCGUGGAAGAUCCCUAACUUCCCCAUAACUUGUUUGUGCCUGUCUAUAAAAAGGCUGUAAAAACCUCACUCGGGCACUCUUAGCGUCACUGACAACGGGUGCGUGGAGGUCUGGGUUCGAACCUGCAAUAAACGGCCCUUGCCGCUUGGCUUUGACUCUGGACUCUGGUGGUUUGUUCUUGAGGGUCACCCGAAUUUGGGCAUAUCAUUUGGGGGCUCAUCUGGGAUACCUCUAAGCCCUCCAGACCCCAAGUCGACGGGUCGUCCCUGAAGCUGAUCGCCUUGCAGAGGGUCCAUGAAGAUGUAUGGCCCAAAUUAAAGGAACUCUAUGAGACUGGACCCCCGCCUAUUCCACAUCAAUUCCAGCCAGGGGAUUGGGUCCUCGUCAAACGUCAUCAGCAGGAAAAUCUGGAACCCAGGUGGAAAGGACCCUUCCAGGUCAUCCUGACAACACCUACGGCCAUCAAAGUAGACGGAAUCGCCACCUGGAUUCAUUGCACCCACGCCAAGCCUGUACACCCAUUCUCAGACCUCAUCGGACCUCCAGCGAAAGGAACAACCUGGACAAUCAACCGGAGUAAGGACAAUCCCCUAAAAAUCACCCUGCGCCGCAAACCACCCAAGCCAUAGCCAUGAUAAUCAUUCUGUUCUUUGUAACCUCUUUUAUUUUACAAACCCCCUUUGUGAGCGGAGGCCUCGAACCUCCAGCUAAGGAGGCAAUACUACAUAACUUAUAUGGAAAACCAUGUGAAUGUAGAGGGGGAAAGUCUGAAUCCCCAGUAGUACCCGAGCGGUACACCUACACACAGGAUUGUGGAGAAACAACCGCCUAUUUAGUUCAGAAUUAUGGAGCAAUGGGGGGCUCUCAAUCAUGGAAAUGUGUUCCUAAACCUAAAACUCUCCCCCCUAGCUCUAGAUGCCCCUGUAGCACUUACCAAGACUCCAUGCACAGUGCUUGCUAUACUGCUGUCUAGCAGUGUAUAGGACAGGAUAACAAAGCCUACUUCACCGCAGUAUUGCAGCGUGCCAGGACUGCCGCGGUAACGGGAGAAAAUGAAUAUAUGCAGGCAGGAUGCCGGGGCACAGUAGGAACUCGUGUGCUGGAAUACCAAAGCCCCGGUACACAUUUCAGACGGGGGUGGGCCCCAAGAUACGGUCCGACAAAUUGAAACCCGGAAGAAACUUGAAAAAAAUAUUUCAGGGGAUGUAUCCCCAACUUAAUUACCACCCACUAAUUCUGCCUGAAAAUAGCCAUUCCGACCUGGACCCUCAGACUAUGGAUAUAAUUAAGGCUACCUUUGCACUCCUAAAUGCCUCCAACCCCGCUCUAGCCCAAGACUGCUGGCUAUGUCUCCCUCAGGGGCAGCCCAGACCUAUAGCAAUCCCUCCCACCCUAAGCCUCGAUAGCACUGAUGACUGUCAUCCCUUAAACCCUGUCGACCCCUUCCCCAUGCAAUCUCUCAUUGUAUUCAAUAUCUCAUGUCUUGUUAAAAAUCACACAGACCCUAACGACAGUAUUGAUUUAGGGGAAGUCUCUUUUGGUGACUGUACCAACUAUACAGUAAUCAACUCCUCACUAUGUAGCUCCAACACCACUGUAUUUAUAUGUGGGGGCAAUCUCGCUCACACUUACCCCCAAAUUGGACAGGAAUCUGCGUCCCAGCAACCCUCCUUCCGGAUGUAGACCUGGUUCCAGGGGAUUCCCCGAUGCCUAUACCUAGCUUAGACUAUCUACCAGGGAGAGCCAAGAGAGCAGUGGCAGUCAUCCCCCUAUUAGUAGGGUUAGGAAUAACAGGAGCUGUAACAGCUGGAUCGGCGGGCUUAGGUGUAUCUGUCCACACAUACCAUCAACUUUCACGACAGCUAAUAGAAGAUGUACAGGCCCUGUCCGGAACCAUCCAAGACUUACAGGAUCAACUUGAUUCCCUAGCCGAGGUAGUAUUACAGAAUAGAAGGGGACUAGACCUGUUAACUGCAGAGCAAGGUGGGAUAUGUUUAGCCCUCCAAGAAAAAUGUUGCUUUUGUGCUAACAAGUCAGGAAUAGUAAGAACAAAAAUCAACUCCAAGAAGAUUUAGCCCACCAUCGGAAAGAAUUAGCUGACAACCCUUUAUGGUUCGGACUCAACGGCUUCCUCCCAUACCUCCUCCCCCUCUUAGGGCCAUUGCUAAGCUUGCUACUUCUCCUCACAAUAGGGCCAUGUAUCAUAAACAAAAUGUUAGCUUUUAUCAAAGAAAGAGUCAAUACUAUUCAACUGAUGGUCCUCAGAACCCAAUAGCAACCUAUCGUUAAUGAAACAUUUGAGUCAAACACGUAAGAUCCAAGAUUGGCUCUUAAGGCACCAAAGAAAGGGGGGAAUGAGAGACUAAGAGAAAAGUUACCAGGGGUA